rnacentral:rRNA from 1 species
AGCUCCAAUAGCGUAUAUUAAAAUUGUUGCAGUUAAAAAGCUCGUAGUUGGAUCUCAGGUUAGGCGCGUCGGUUUGGUCUUUGUACUAUGACUGUGCGUGUCUGCCUUUCAUAGCUGUUUGUCAUCCCAUGGUGCUCUUUAUUGAAUGCUGUGUGGGUGCUCGGCACGUUUACCUUGAAAAAAUCAGAGUGCUUAAAGCAGGCCUUUGUGCUUGAAUAAUGUUAUAGGACUUCGGUUCUAUUUUGUUGGUUUUCGGCACCGGAGUAAUGAAUAGUAGAGACAGACGGGGGCAUUUGUAUGGUGGUGUUAGAGGUGAAAUUCUAAGAUCACCGCCAGACAAACUACUGCGAAAGCAUUUGCCAAGCAUGUCUUCA